rnacentral:rRNA from 1 species
GACGAACGCUGGCGGCGUGCUUAACACAUGCAAGUCGAACGGAAAGGCCCCGCUUUUGUGGGGUGCUCGAGUGGCGAACGAGUGAGUAACAAGUGAGUAACCUGCCCUUGACUUUGGGAUAACUUCAGGAAACUGGGGCUAAUAACGGAUAGGAGCUCCUACUGCAUGGUGGGGGUUGGAAAGUUUCGGCGGUUGGGGAUGGACUCGCGGCUUAUCAGCUUGUUGGUGGGGUAGUGGCUUACCAAGGCUUUGACGGGUAGCCGGCCUGAGAGGGUGACCGGCCACAUUGGGACUGAGAUACGGCCCGGACUCGUACGGGAGGCAGCAGUGGGGAAUAUUGCACAAUGGGCGGAAGCCUGAUGCAGCAACGCCGCGUGCGGGAUGACGGCCUUCGGGUUGUGAACCGCUUUCGCCUGUGACGAAGCGUGAGUGACGGUAAUGGGUAAAGAAGCACCGGCUAACUACGUG